UGGAAUGGUGACAACAUGCUGGAGCC
rnacentral:piRNA from 2 species